ensembl:lncRNA
UUUCCUGACAUCUUUUAAAAGAACAGUUUGAUGACAGCAAACACUUUCUUUAAUCUUCCUGAUAGUUGCACCCAGAGCUGUUUUUGAUACUGAGAACUGCACAAAUAAAUUGCCCACAUCAUAUCCUGGUGCAAUCUAAAUCUCUGAUUUAACUAUGCUGUUUUAUUGUCUUUCAAAUAGACACGCUACAGCCGCUUUCCCAGUGAAGUCCAGUGCAAAGAGGGAGAGGUGUGCCAAAGAGGCCUGAGAGAUGGACGUUUCCUCAGUGUGGGUAAGAGAACAGGCUGGAGGCAGGGGAGGGCGGCUGGAGCCCUGUGGAUCCACACGCUGUGACCAUCAUUCAGGUAACUGCUCUUUCUUCGUCUUCUGAGGGGGUGGUUCUUGGCUGCUGGCUUAACUUUCAGAAAGUACCCUCCUUCUCCAGGCUUCCUGGAUCAACUUCUACUUUUGCAUCUUCUUUUCAUUAGUAAAAGGGAAAGGAGUCACCACUGGAAAGCUCUGAGAUUCAGAGGAAGUGAGUAAACAGCAUUUUUAUUUUUCCUUCAAUGGAAUAUAAGUUCCUCAAGAGGAGAAGAAGAGUACAGAUAUCUAGAAACCUCAAAAGUGUCUUUUGCAAAGCACCAAAGAGCAGGACAAACAAGGCAAAAGAGUCAGAUAUCCUACCAGACAACUCCAGCCCUAGAGAAGAGUCUAGGGAAAGCAUGGCAAAACCAGCGUAUAAGAUGGAGCUUUCAAAGGUGGGGCAGAUUCACUCAACAAAAUAGUUCUAGGACACGUGUCAGGCGCAGUUCCAAGCUGAGAAUACAGCAUAGAACAAAACAGACAAAAGUUUUUCCCUUGUGGGGUUCAUACUCUAGUGAAGGGAAGCACACAAUAAACAACUCAAUUAAUAAAAUAUACAAUAUGUCUGAUAGUGAAAUGUGCUUUGAGAAAAAUCAAGCAAAAAAUGGGAAUAGGGACUUCCCUAAGGAUCCAGUGGUUAGGACUCUGCACUUGCACUGCUGAGAGAGAACUAAGAUCCCACAAGCCUCACAGUGUGGCCAAAAUAAACUAAAUGUGGCACUACA